CAUUUCUCCACAUCCUCUCCAGCAUCUAUAGUCUCCUGAUUUGUUCAUUUUGGCCACUCUGACUGGCGUGAGGUGAUAUCUGAGUGUGGUUUUGAUUUGUAGUGAAUCUUUUUUUAAAUUAUUUUUUGAUGCAAAAAGGUGAUUUUAUUAAAGCACAGGGACAGGACCUGUGGGCAGAAAGAGCUGCUAAAACUGAAUCUUAAAGAGAAGAGAAACUGUUUUAUCUGAUCUGAUAUUUAAAAAGUCUUACUAUUCUGUUAGAUAAAUAACUUAUGAAAAUGGCAGAUUGUGCUCUCCCUUAAACAUUUGUUCCUGGUUUUCCCUAUACCAUCAAAGCAAAAAAUAGAACAAGCACCCUGGUUGGAACUAGAAUAGGUAGGUAUUUGUUGAAUGGAGGAAUUUACUUUAUCAUUUAGGAUAAUAAUUAUAAUUCAUAAUUUUAUUAUAUAUCAUUAUAAAUAAUUAUAUCAUGACAGUAAUCCUGUUACUCCUGGCUGGACCAAAGUAGCCUAAGAGAUAAUUUGUUGUUAGAGUAUUGCUUUUAAGUGAUAUCCUUAAUCAUUAUCUAUGGAACAUGUUUUUUUCCUGCAGGGAUAACUUGUGCUGCCUUAUGUAGGCUCCUUCCUUUUGGUCAGUAGAUUGUCUUUGCAAGAUGGCUUCUGCAGUCCAUGGCCUUGGAAGAGAACUCACUGGCAGUUCUUUGUAAACCAGGGGUGGUGAAAUUUUUUUUUUUUUUUUUUAAAGACCCAGAUAGUAAAUAUUUUAGGUGUUGCAGCCCAAAUGCAGUUUCUUUUUGCAUAUCUGUGUGUGUGUGUGUGUGUGUGUGUGUGUGUGUGUGUGUGUGUUUUACUACCCUUAAAAAGGUAAAGCUCAUUCUUAGUUGUGGCCAUACACAAAAUAGGCUGGAUUUUUCCUGCUUGCCAUAGUUUGUCAACAAUAAGCGGAACUUCCACGGAUAUGAGCUAAUGGUACAUCUCUAAGCUCAGAGCCGUCAACUCUGACAGUGGUCUCUUUCCAGAUAUCCUAGUCACUUCUUUUCCUCACCGACAUAGGUGUCUCCUUAGGACUCUGUCACCUCAAAUAGGAGCUUUUACUAUUCUUCUAUCCCUGUGUUUCAGGAGAAGGAGAUUAGACAGGUGUCCUCUUUGCUCUAUUGCCACUGCCACUUCUCUGUUCUUUGAAGUUCUAUCACUGUCACCCUUUCCUUAUUAUCUUACCUCCCAGAAGAACCUUCUCAUUCAUUGAAGACUUUACUUGGCUCCGUUUUCUUCUCCCUUAUUUUAAUCAUUUCAGUGAAUCCAGGACCUUGUGGAUAACAAAUCUAAAAUUGUGACCCUUUUCUCCACGCCAUUCAGACACUUCUCAGUGGCCACACCCAGAUACUUACCAGCUCCUGAAACUCCCAUAAAAUUUGACUAUUCUGUGCUCCAUUCACCAUCUCCUAUCCCCCUCCACUGCUGAAGUUCUGUACUUUGACCUCAUUCUUUCAUUGUGCACCACCUAUCUCCUGUUUUCAGAUUCUUUUAAGUUUUGUUUAGAUUCGGGUUUUAGAGUUGCCUCCUGUCACAUGCUCUCCAUCCCUCUGCCCCUGACUGCAUAGUAUUCGUCUUUCAAAACUCAGAGGAGCACACCAGGUUAUCUGUUUCCUUUGUACCUGUUGUUCCCAAGUAGCUCAGCAUUUGUGGAGAGUAUCAGGUUUUUCCAUUCAUGUUUGUACAUCUCAAGUGGAUUCUCAAUACUGCUUAGCAGUUUUACUGUGUACCUGUAAUAAGUUCAUUUUUCCAACUUUUAGAUAAUUUUCACUACUUAAAAAAAAUUUUUUUUGAUGUUUGUUUAUUUCUGAGAGAGAGAGAGAGACAGAGCCCAAGCGGGAGAGAGGCAUAGAGAGAGGGAGACACAGAAUCCGAAGCAGGCUCCAGGCUCUGAGCUGUCAGCACAGAGCCUGACACGGGGCUCCAAACCCACGAACCAUGAGAUCAUAACCAGCCGAAGUCGGACACUUAGCUGACUGAGCCACCCAGGCGUCCCUCACUACUUUUUCAUGUUCUAGCUUAGCUUUAAUAUUUGCCUCUUCAACCAACUGUUCACUUUAUAUACAUCGUUGAGACAAUGAAACUGCCCUCCCCUUUCCCUCUCCCUCCCCUUCCUUCCCUUUCCAUUUUAUGGAUGUAGCAGCUUUUCUCCUUUCAAUGGCAAAUACUCCUAUUUGUGUCCUGGAUCCCAAUCCCUGUUCUCUCAUCAGGAACCUUGAAUCUUUCCCAAGUUUUUCACCUAAUUUCUGAAAACUGCUUGUAAAUCAUCUUUGAUUCUUCACUUUCUCUCUUCCAUACCCUCCCAAUUAAAUUUAAUUAGUCAGUAUUUGUAGUUCUGUUUUCAGAAAGAGAGUCAAAUCAGUCCAUGUCAGGCCAUCUCCACUCUGCCCUUACCUGUCACUUCCUCACUGGCCUUCAUGCCACCAUUCUUGUUCUUCAUAAUCCAUUCUCUGGAGUUGCUGAUGAAUUUUUGAAAAUGUACACUACAAUAUGCUACUCCUUUGUUCAUCUUGUUAUAGUAUCAUUCUGUCAUUUCUUAAUGGUAUGUUUAUUUGAUGGGUAUAAUUUUGUUUCUAAACACUUAUUUUUUCAGAACAGUUUUAAGUUCACAUCAAAAUUGAGGGGAAGGUAAAGAGAUUAUCCGCCCUGCCCCCACACAUGCACACCUUCCCCCAUUAUCGACACCCCCUACCAGAGUGCUAUAUUUGUUACAACUGCUGAACCUACAUUGACAUCCAUCAUAUUUGGGGUGAAAUUCACAUGACAAAUAAUUUGAUUCCUAACUGCUUCUCCAACCUUUACUUGUUUCCACUCGCCCUUGGCUUAUUGGACUUCAGGUACACAGACCUUCUGUCUAUUCCUAGAAUGGCCAAACUGUUUUCUAUUGUGGAACAGCUCUGCUGGCACCCUGAACACCUUGUGUUUAUCCAUUUAGGCCAGGCUAGGUUCAGGCUAACCUGAGCCAUGAUGGCCCAUGAUCUUCCUGGAACACAAGGAUUUGGGGCAUGUGAGGAACUAUCAUGGGCCACUUCAUGUAUGCCUCCCUGUCUCCCAGAGAAGAUGUGAGACAGUUGUCCUUGCCUCCAGAUUUUGAUGAAGUAUGAGACUUUCCAUUUUGAGUCCCUUUAGGGCAUAGCUGCAGGCCACAAAGUUGCUUAGCUACAACAUGGAAUUAGUAUCUCAGCAACAAGGUGCCCCACCCCUUCUGUUGCAUUAUAGUGUCCUCUUUCAUGUCUCAUGCCCCCUCUUUUUGUGUCUUUUCUUGGGACAGGACUCAUGGGGCUACUGGUGGUUUGUCUUUCUUCUGCUAUCACUGUAAGUAAUAAACUUUGUGACCCUAACAAGGGCUUGCUGUUUCUACGGUAGCUGAAUCUUGCUUGACAACCACUUGGGACUUUGGUUAUUGUUCCCAUUGCCUGCAUUGCCCUUUCCCUGAGUUCCAAGUAUUUCUUCCCAUUCUCUUGCUUCCUUUGGUAUCUCUAUCACAUCUCCCAGUUUUAGGACCAUUAGCUGAACACACAGUGACAAUGACUUGUGAUGCAGGAGUAUUUGCUGUAAUUCAGGAGGUGCGAGGAGACUAUAAGUGGAUAUCCAAUGAGGCAGAAUGAGCACAUACAAUUAGUCUACCAGAAUGACCUGGAGGUGGCCUUGGGCUAGGCAGUGGGUUUACCCUGAAUUCAGGUUUAGAAGUUGGGGCUUUGGAGAGAGACAUUUUCUUCUCUUACCAGCAAACAUCAUAGAUUAGAAAUUGAUUCCACAGUCUUUCUCCUAUUAUUUAGUAUGUAUGAAAUUAUCUAAAUUUACUAUUUUAUUCUGUCUGAGUAGACAAAUACUGUUAAAUUCUUUGGUAUAUCCAAGUCUUAUUUAUGAGACAGUCCUUUCUUUACAUUACGAUUUUUCUUCUAGGGGUUUUGCUGUUUUGUUUUUUUGUUUGUUUGUUUGUUUUUAACAGGUUUUGAAAAUCUGUUUAGAUUAUUUCUAUUGGUUUUCCCCUGUUAAUGCACCUCUUUAUUCCUUUCUGUAAUAUCAGGGUGAAUCUGCCUGUGUUGGCUUUAAAGUAACUGAAUCUGUUCAGAAGCUGCUUAAACAUCCAGACUGUUAUAAAAUCUUAACAACUCAAGAUUUUUUGAAUGUCGCAGAUACAAACCUGCAGAAAUCCUGGUAAAUUAGGCAAAGAGUACAGAAACCACAACAAAAAUUUAGGUCACUUGUUUAAUAUACAAAGUCUUUCUUUCACAGAUAAUUAUUUUCUUUUCCUUAAUUCAUCUCAGUACACAUUAUUCACAAAACAGUAAGUUGUUAAUGCAAGAGAAUUAGGUAAAACCAAAAAAGUACAAAUGCUCAAUCUCAAAAAUUGCACACAGUUAAAAUAAUUUUUCCUCGUUUGUUUUAAAUGUGAUAUCCAAUUUCAAAAUGGGCUUCAGAUUUGGAGGAAACAUUGCAGCCCAAAAUAACAGCACUUCCUUUCAGCUGUAUUGAUAUGUAAAAUAGCACCUUUGGGCUGACUUAAGAAAAAAAAGGUUUUUAUCUUUCUUAAUUAAAGUGUAAGUCUUUCACAAUUAUUAUAUAACAACUACAAUAAUGAAUAAUAAGUUUAAAGAGCUCUACUUUGUUCCGAAAUAUUCAUUGGCAAGGUAAGGAAAGGUAAACUGUCAGUCAAAUGGAAUAAUCUUCCCCACCACACCCCCUUGGCAAUUACAGUCUCUUAAUGAUGUCAUUGCUCUAAUGAGCUAAUUUUCCAGCCAAA